rnacentral:lncRNA from 1 species
GAGGAGGCUUCAAAGGCCCAUGAGGAGGCCACCACAGGGCCAGCCCCAGUGCUCAGGAAACAUUUGGGGCCAGGGCCUUCCCCAGGGCCUGGUUUGAGUGACCACUGCUGCCAAAACAGGCCCAUCCACGACCCUGGGAGCCUUCACCAUCAGACUGCCUCCUCAUUCCUGGGGCCCUGCAGGGCCUUGUCCCAUUCCCCUUCACCUGGCUUGAUCCUGACCCUCAGUGUGAAAGUCAGGGUGGAUGAGGUAGAAGCCAUAGGAAAACAGGACAGUGGAUGCCAGGACAGUAAAGCAGGAUCUUACAGCCACACCCGGCAUACUGUAACCAUGACUCAGUCUUGUGUUCAUCUUAUGCAGCAAAGCUAUCGGCCUAAUUUUGCAAGGAACAGGAACCCAUUCUCUACCUGUAUUUUGGAGACACCUCUUUCUCUCCGCUGUAAAGGAAGACUUGAAAAAUCACACUCAUUCAGUGCCUGCCAUGCUCCCUCAAAACACCUCUUUCUGUAUUUCAUUAAUUCAGUAUUUUGGAGCUUAAUCUGAAUUUAAGGCAUUUAAUUUAAUCUGUACCUUCUCUCUAAAGUUUUCAAUACCAAAAUAUUUAAACGGUAAUGCACCUUUACUACUGGUGAGGAUUUCAUUCUUUUUUCUUUUUUUUUUCUUUUUUUUUCCAGUGGUAUUGGUAGUCCCUCUUGUGACUUUAACCACAUUGCUGAAAACGUAAUAAAAGUAAUUGGAUGGUUUCUGAAAAAAAGUUG